UCAGAUCUUGAUAAUGCUCUGCUACAUAAAGGAAUCAAGGGCUAGAGAUCUUGAACGGAAGGAGUCAUUAUAUUCUGCUGCAACCAAUGUAAGGUUUUCUUAAACCCCUAUGUGUUUAUUUCAUUGUUUUAGAGAAUUCAUAUUUAGGAUGUUAAUCAAUAUACUUGUUAGUAAAUCUAGAUCCUGGUAAAAUAUUCCCAACAAUCACAGUACCAAGUCACAAGUAAACAGAGUCCUGAAACUAUGAACAAAAAGAAAGAGAUGGAAAAGAUACCCUAUGUUGCUGUAGUAGGGUCAAUCAUGUACCUUAUGGUAUGUUCAAUACUUAAUUUUUCCCAUAGUAUCAGUUGUCUUAGUAGAUAUAUGGCCAAUCCAGGAAAGGAUCAUUGACAUACAAUGAAAUGGUUAAUGAGAUACUUGGUGGGAACUAUCAAUGAAGGACUUUUGUAUAAACAAAAAGCUGGAGUGGUUAGUUUUGAAAGGUUUAGUGAUUCAGAUUAUGCAGAUCACAAACACACCAAAAGAUCUACCUGAACCUACCAGUUCUUAGUGUGUUGAAAUUAUGUUAGCUAAAAAACAUAAUUGUUAUCUAUGAUAGCUCUAGCCACCACAGAAGUUGAGUUCAUGGUAGCUAUAGAGGCCAUAAAGGAGUGUGGUUGGAUUCAAGGGAUUAUGAAAGAGCUAAAGCUAUUUGAAGAUAUUGCAUGGAUUAAUUUGGAUAGUCAAAGUGCUAUACAGUUGUACAAGAAUUUCAUGUAUCACGGUAGAACCAAGAAUAUAGACAUCAAAUAUUUUUUCAUAAGGGAAAAGGUACCACAAGGACAUAUCAAAAUAGAAAAGGUGCAUACAGAUGACAAUUCCUCUCAUAUGGGAAAAAAGUUAUAACUCUAGGAAAGUUUUAUCAUUGUAAGGACUUGCAUAGAAUUGGAAUUAGCUAAUACAACUUUGAGAAUUUCUGAACUCCCUGGUGGCUUAUAAUCAUUAGUUUUGAGUUAUAGUGACAGGCUAGGUGUUGGAUCAUCUCUCAUUAAACUUAGCCACGUGUUCAUCCUAGAUCAUCUCUCACAUACUUAGUUAGAAAAAGAAAAUAAUUAUUAUUUUUUUCAGUUAUUUUCUGUUACUCGAAGCUUUCAAGCCAUGUUUGUGUUAAGGUUUAUGCACUGAAAAGCCUAUAAAGAUAUUUAUAUUUAUAAAUAAGAGUUUAAUAUUUUCAUAUAUGCUUGAAUGUUAAAUUAUUAAUAUUUUAUAUUGAAUAAUUUAUAUAUAAUUAUCAGAAAAUUUAUUAGUCAUACAUAAGAUUAUGACUUGUAUUGUACGGAGAAUUAAUGUCACUUAUCCCUGAAUAAAACAGUCAGCAACAUAUUAAAGUUAUGAAAUCUUUAUUCAACGGUUGCUAGUACACUCACUGAUGCCCGUUAUUUGGUGCAAGCAAUCUCGAUUUAGAUUGCUGAUGUAGUAUGAUAUUUAAGUGACAUUAUUGUAUAUAAUAGAGGUCAUAUAUGUGCAAGAACCGCAUACUUAGAAAAUAUAUUAGUAGGGCAAUUAGCAUUAAACACUUUUAUUUUAUGAUUAUAUAUGGAUAUUUGUCUUGUGGGUCCUAUUUUCAAAAAAUAGGCAUUAAAAUUAUAAUUUUCAAUUCUGAAGAUUUAAUUAGACUCUAAGUGUAUUAUUUAUACUGUAUGUGAAAUUUUAAUAUUUUUAUAAUUUUUGUUCGGUAACAAUGAAAAAUGCAAUAGAUGGUCGUUAGAGUCACAUGGGUUAGGUUAGAACCUUUUAUCUAGUAGGACAAUCAGAAGUUUAAUUUUUGAAUAUUGGAGUUAGGCGAGGUUAUGGUAUCAGACUAUUUUACUCCUAAGCCAUAUUAUUAUCUAAGCUUGAAGUAAGAGGCAAAAUGGUCAUUUUGUCUAAUUUUGUGGUUUUGUCCUUUAGUGGAUUUUAGCAUUUUGGACUUAUUUUCUUAACUGAAGUAAAAUAAUUAAGUUACUAAUUAAAAGUUAUUCUUUUAGAUAAGUUAGAAAUUAAGAUUAAUCUAUUACCCCCUCUCUCUCUCUCUCGACACUUCUUGAACCCAAAGGAAUCAAGGUUUCAUCUCCAGUUUUCUAUCAUUUCUAGCUGGGAAUUUAAGGUAAUUCAGAAGCUAUUGUAAGGGAUAAGCUAAGGGCCUCCAUUCAAUGCGUGAAUUUCCAUUCAGGUUGACCGGCAUACUUGAAUCAAGAAACGAGGUAAAAGAAAGGCUAAGGUUGAGUACCGAUGAGUCCAGAGCUCGGAGAUGAUUCUACAUAUCAAGAUGGUUACACUUGGAGAGUUCAAUCUUGGGACGACUUUGGCCUACAUUUUGUAGUCGUAGAGCGACAUGUCUAUAAAGUGUAUAUUGAAGAUGAAUGUUAAUUUUAAAGACGGGAUUCCAACUUUUUGUACAGACAUAUAUAUAUUUAUAAAGUUUAAAGUUUAAUUAAAAAUUUAAAUUU